rnacentral:tRNA from 1 species
GCCUGCUUAACUCAAUCGGUUAGAGUAUUCGUCUCAUACGCGAAAUGUUACUAGUUCGAGUCUAGUAGCAGGCA